GUUGAGAUAGUUGAUUAUAUUGCUAAUUCACAACAACACAGUUAAUGAAGUCCUGUGCAUGCCUGUAUUAACCCUUUGAGUGCCACAGUCAUAAUCAAUGUUUUUAUAAGUAUAGAGUUACUGCAUAAUUUGGUGUUUCGUGGUCGAGUAUACUUAUCUUUACGAGGUCUGAUAAUGAUGUUGAAGUUUACGAUAAAAAAAUAAAUAAAAAUCUUCCAAAGUGGAC